rnacentral:rRNA from 1 species
GAUGAACGCUAGCUACAGGCUUAACACAUGCAAGUCGAGGGGAAACGACAUCGAAAGCUUGCUUUUGAUGGGCGUCGACCGGCGCACGGGUGAGUAACGCGUAUCCAACCUGCCCACCACUUGGGGAUAACCUUGCGAAAGUAAGACUAAUACCCAAUGACGUCUCUAGAAGGCAUCUGAAAGAGAUUAAAGAUUUAUCGGUGAUGGAUGGGGAUGCGUCUGAUUAGCUUGUUGGCGGGGUAACGGCCCACCAAGGCGACGAUCAGUAGGGGUUCUGAGAGGAAGGUCCCCCCACAUUGGAACUGAGACACGGUCCAAACUCCUACGGGAGGCAGCAGUGAGGAAUAUUGGUCAAUGGGCGAGAGCCUGAACCAGCCAAGUAGCGUGCAGGAAGACGGCCUUUAAUGGGGUUUGUAAAACUGCUUUUAUAAGGGAAUAAAGUGAGCCUCGUGAGGCUUUUUGCAUGUACCUUAUGAAUAAGGACCGGCUAAUUCCGUG